AGUCGUCAUCAUUUUUUGUUUAAGGUGCAAGUUAAAUGAGUUGAUGGCUGUACUGGAAUGUUUACUUCUACCAGAUCUGAUGUAGCUAAACCAACCAGGAGCAGAUAAUUGAAGAUUUUCAGUGUUUGUUAAUCACUGAUGACAUGCUUUGGAAGUACUCAAAACAAAGGAUUCCCAGGUAUUAGAGGAGCAGCGAGCAAUCUCCCUUUGGAUAUUUAUGAGAAUUUUCUAGCAGGCUAUUGGAUGUUGGGGAUGGCACAGAGAUAAGAGUAUUGGAACUUAUUACUCUGUUGAGAGCUUUCUACUUCUUCAAGCAAUAUUGAAAUAAGGAAUCAAAUAGAAGGUCAUGACAGAGUUGGAUCCUUGGUAAGAAUGAGAAGGAGAUGCAGAAACAAAUCAGUCCAGCUCCCUAGCUAUGAUUCUAAUAAUGUGACCUGAUUGAGAUCAGGAAUAAUUAAGACUAUCCCCU
rnacentral:lncRNA from 1 species